GACUAACGUUGGCGGCGUGCCUAAUACAUGCAAGUCGAGCGGAUCAGGGGGCAACUCCUGGUUAGCGGCGAACGGGUGAGUAACACGUGGAUGAUCUACCUUCGAGAUUGGAACAACCAGCCGAAAGGUUGGCUAAUGCCAAAUGUGACCACGGCCAGUAUCAUCUGGCUGCGGUAAAAGCAGGGGACCGCAAGGCCUUGCGCUUGAAUAUGAGUCCGCGCCUGAUUAGCUAGUUGGCGGGGUAAUGGCCCACCAAGGCGACGAUCAGUAGCCGGCCUGAGAGGGUGAACGGCCACACUGGGACUGAGACACGGCCCAGACUCCUACGGGAGGCAGCAGUAGGGAAUUUUCCACAAUGGGCGAAAGCCUGAUGGAGCAACGCCGCGUGAGGGAUGAAGGUCUUCGGAUUGUAAACCUCUUUGGAGUGGGAAGAACGAUUCCGGUGUUAACAGCGCCGGGAAGUGACGGUACCACUAG
rnacentral:rRNA from 1 species